CUGCCCUCUACAGACCAAAUAACUAAUUUGCGAUCUGGAAGAUAACCACACCUCUAGUGCUUCUAUUGGGUUAUCAACUGAUGACGUACAGAGAGUCUGGCCCUUUAAAAGUUAAGACAAAGGGAAGAUAGAAGAUACGAAGGAGGCAGAUGCAAGAUAUGCAAAGGAGAGAAAAGAGAGGAAUUGGAAGUUUGGGGACUCCAACCUCCAUGCAGAGACACAUCCAAAUAAAUUCCUG